rnacentral:rRNA from 1 species
GGGCGUAAGGGCUCGUAGGUGGUUUGUCGCGUCGUCUGUGAAAUUCCGGGGCUUAACUCCGGGCGUGCAGGCGAUACGGGCAUAACUUGAGUACUGUAGGGGUAACUGGAAUUCCUGGUGUAGCGGUGAAAUGCGCAGAUAUCAGGAGGAACACCGAUGGCGAAGGCAGGUUACUGGGCAGUUACUGACGCUGAGGAGCGAAAGCAUGGGUAGCGAACAGGAUUAGAUACCCUGGUAGUCCAUGCCGUAAACGGUGGGCGCUAGGUGUGAGGGUCUUUUCACGACUUUCGUGCCGUAGCUAACGCAUUAAGCGCCCCGCCUGGGGAGUACGGCCGCAAGGCUAAAACUCAAAGGAAUUGACGGGGGCCCGCACAAGCGGCGGAGCAUGUGGAUUAAUUCGAUGCAACGCGAAGAGCCUUACCUGGGCUUGACAUACACCGGAUCGGGCUAGAGAUAGUCUUUCCCUUUGUGGCUGGUGUACAGGUGGUGCAUGGUUGUCGUCAGCUCGUGUCGUGAGAUGUUGGGUUAAGUCCCGCAACGAGCGCAACCCUUGUCUUAUGUUGCCAGCAUUUGGUUGGGGACUCAUGAGAGACUGCCGGGGUCAACUCGGAGGAAGGU